rnacentral:rRNA from 1 species
AACGGGUGAGUAACGCGUGAGGAACCUGCCUCAAAGAGGGGGACAACAGUUGGAAACGACUGCUAAUACCGCAUAAGCCCACGGCUCGGCAUCGAGCAGAGGGAAAAGGAGCAAUCCGCUUUGAGAUGGCCUCGCGUCCGAUUAGCUAGUUGGUGAGGUAAUGGCACACCAAGGCGACGAUCGGUAGCCGGACUGAGAGGUUGAACGGCCACAUUGGGACUGAGACACGGCCCAGACUCCUACGGGAGGCAGCAUG